rnacentral:rRNA from 1 species
UUUCGCAUCGAUGAAGAACGCAGCGAAUCGCGAUAUGUAAUGUGAAUUGCAGAUCUACAGUGAAUCAUCGAAUCUUUGAACGCACCUUGCGCUCCUCGGUGUUCCGAGGAGCAUGCCUGUUUGAGUGUCAGUUAAUUCUCAACCCCUCUUGAUUUGCUUCGAGAGGGUGCUUGGACGUUGGGGGCUGCCGGAGACCUGGAUUCGUCCAGGACUCGGGCUCCUCUGAAAUGAAUCGGCUCGCGGUCGACUUUCGACUUUGCGCGACAAGGCCUUUGGCGUGAUAAUGAUCGCCGUUCGCCGAAGCGCAAGACAGAACGGUCCCGUGCCUCUAAUGCGUCGACGCCUUCCGGGGCGUCUUCCUUAUCGAUGUUUGACCUCAAAUCAGGUAGGACUACCCGCUGAACUUAAGCAUAUCAAUAAGCGGAGGAAAAGAAACUAACAAGGAUUCCCCUAGUAACUGCGAGUGAACCGGGAAAAGCUCAAAUUUUGAAUCUGGCGGUCUUCAGACCGUCCCCUUCGCAUUGAUGAAGAACGCAGGAGAAUCCCGUCUUGACACGGAC